GACGAACGCUGGCGGCGUGCUUAACACAUGCAAGUCGAGCGGAAAGGCCACUUCGGUGGUACUCGAGCGGCGAACGGGUGAGUAACACGUGAGUAAUCUGCCCUUGGCUUCGGGAUAGCCACCGGAAACGGUGAUUAAUACCGGAUAUGACCACUCCAGGCAUCUGGUGGUGGUGGAAAGUUUUUCGGCCAGGGAUGUGCUCGCGGCCUAUCAGCUUGAUGGUGAGGUAAUGGCUCACCAUGGCUUCGACGGGUAGCCGGCCUGAGAGGGUGACCGGUCACACUGGGACUGAGACACGGCCCAGACUCCUACGGGAGGCAGCAGUGGGGAAUAUUGGACAAUGGGCGGAAGCCUGAUCCAGCAACGCCGCGUGAGGGAUGACGGCCUUCGGGUUGUAAACCUCUUUCGCCUAUGACGAAGCGCAAGUGACGGUAAUAGGUAAAGAAGCACCGGCCAACUACGUGCCAGCCGCCGCUGUAAUAC
rnacentral:rRNA from 1 species